rnacentral:misc_RNA from 1 species
GAUGAAGAACGUAGCGAAAUGCGAUACGUAAUGUGAAUUGCAGAAUUCAGUGAAUCAUCGAAUCUUUGAACGCAUAUUGCGCUCUCUGGUAUUCCGGAGAGCAUGCUUGUUUGAGUAUCAGUAAACACCUCAACUUCCAUAUCUUUUUUGAAAUGGGAGUUGGACUUGAGUGAUCCCAACGCUUUUCCUCACCGAAAAGUGGCGGGUUACUUGAAAUGCAGGUGAAGCUGGACUUUUCUCUGAGCUAUAAGCAUAUCUAUUUAGUCUGCCUAAAAAACAGAUUAUUACCUUUGCUGCAGCUAACAUAAAGGAGAUUAGUUCUUGUGCUGACUGAUGCAGGAUUCACAAAGACAGGCUUCGGCCGACUUUGUAAACUCGAUCUCAAAUCAAGUAAGACUACCCGCUGAACUUAAGCAUAUCAAUAAGCGGAGGA